rnacentral:rRNA from 1 species
UCGGGAAUUUUGGGCAAUGGGCGAAAGCCUGACCCAGCAACGCCGCGUGAAGGAUGAAGUAUUUCGGUAUGUAAACUUCGAAAGAAUAGGAAGAAUUAAUGACGGUACUAUUUAUAAGGUCCGGCUAACUACGUGCCAGCAGCCGCGGUAAUACGUAGGGACCAAGCGUUGUUCGGAUUUACUGGGCGUAAAGGGCGCGUAGGCGGCAUGACAAGUCACUUGUGAAAUCUCCGGGCUUAACUCGGAACGGCCAAGUGAUACUGUCACGCUAGAGUGCAGAAAGGGCAAUCGGAAUUCUUGGUGUAGCGGUGAAAUGCGUAGAUAUCAAGAGGAACACCUGAGGCGAAGGCGGGUUGCUAGGCUGACACUGACGCUGAGUGCGCGAAAGCCAGGGGAGCAAACGG